rfam:Salmo salar isolate Sally breed double haploid chromosome ssa08, whole genome shotgun sequence.
UGCACUUACUACUGUAAGUUGCUCUGGAUAAGAGCGUCUGCUAAAUUACUAAAA